UAUCUCUUCAUUCUCCUUGGGAAGAUCCUCCAAGGCUUCUCAUCAUCAGAGGAAUAAGACCUUACCAUUUUAUAUGAAGCUCCUACACUCAUCGUGCUACGAGACAACAUAAAAAAGGACUGUUCCAGAGACCUUCAUAUUUUGGAACAUCUUUAUCCAUCCUACUCUGACUGUUCCCUCUGCCCCAACUCUUCCAUAUGGAGCAUCUGUGUCUAUGAUUCUUCACCAAAGUACAUCGAAGUCACUCCUGGGGAUUUUCCUGAACUAUGCACCAUGAUUCUUCUCCCUGCAGAGAUGCACAUUCACUCUGAUAUGCUUCAAAUCACAGAGUUACUUUUACUGAUGACAGUACAUGGUAUCUCUUGGUAUGUCAAGGCUGUAAAAUAAUAUUAAGAACCACUGGUCUGUAUUAAAGAAAAUGUAUUAUGUGGAGUGGGAUUUUUUAGAAGAUGGAAUUUUAGAUUUUUUUCCCCUGAGUACUUUACCCUCUCUGUAUACAACCAUAUGCAUGCCUCAUCUGGGUGUCCUCUUCUGCUUUUCCUAUUGGUCUUUAUGUACCUGGCACAGUUGUCUCCACCCUAGAAUGCCUAUUUCAGACAACCAGGGAGAGUUAGCUGUACUGGCCUCUGUGCUCUGUGCUCUCUCAAGGUAUCAAGGUGAGUUCUUGACACCUUGUACAAAAUUGUUUCAGAGUUUAUCUUUUCUGUCACUAGACUUUCAGAUCUUGAAAUUUAGGGAUGAUAGGGAGAUUUAUAUCCCUCAUACAAAGAAACAUGCCCAGCAUAUAGAGGGCUUUCAGUUAAAUGCCUGUGAAUGAAUGAAUGAACGAAUGGAAAUGAAUUAAUGAAUGAAAAUGAGUAAAUGGAUGACACUUUAGGGAAAGGGAUGGACUAAGUUAAAGAGAAUUGGGAAACGUGUUGUGCAAACAAGGGUGAGCAAUUUGAAGACACCUUGAUGGGCUCUUAGCAUGGCUGAGGCAAGAUGACUAAAGACACAUUUGCUUCACUAAUCUGUUUUUAGCCAGUUAGGAAAGGACAACAGGCAAGAAAAAACAUUGUUUUACUUUAAAUCCCACAGAGUCAAGGUUGGUUCUUUAAUCUGCCUGUGUCCAGCAGAAUGUCCCAAUCUUGGGUGAAAGUGUAAAUGGUAAACCCACCCCACUUAGAAGUACUGCCCCAACAUGGCAAACUAGAGGAGGUGUCCC